rnacentral:rRNA from 1 species
CCUACGGGUGGCAGCAGUAGGGAAUCUUUCACAAUGGGCGAAAGCCUGAUGGAGCAACGCCGCGUGCAGGAUGAAGGCCUUCGGGUUGUAAACUGCUUUUAUAAGCGAGAAAUAUGAGGGUAACUUAUGAAUAAGGAUCGGCUAACUACGUGCCAGCAGCCGCGGUCAUACGUAGGAUCCGAGCAUUAUCCGGAGUGACUGGGUGUAAAGAGUUGCGUAGGUGGCAUAAUAAGUAGCUAGUGAAAUCUGGUGGCUCAACCAUUCAGACUAUUAGCUAAACUGUUAAGCUCGAGACCGUUAGGGGUAACUGGAAUUCCUAGUGUAGGAGUGAAAUCCGUAGAUAUUAGAAGGAACACCAAUAGCGUAGGCAGGUUGCUGGGACGGUUCUGACACUAAGGCACGAAAGCGUAGGGAGCAAACGGGAUUAGAUACCCCUGUAGUC